GACGUAGGGCGCAAGCGUUGUCCGGAUUUAUUGGCGUAAAGAGCUCGUAGGCGGCUCAUCGCGUCUGCCGUGAAAACCCGCAGCUCAACUGCGGCUUGCGGUUGAUGACGGGUGGGCUGGAGUUCGGUGAGGGGAGACUGGAAUUCCUGGUGUGAGCGGUGAAAUGCGCAGAUAGUCAGGAGGAACACCGGUGGCGAAGGCGGGUCUCUGGGCCGAUACUGACGCUGGAGGAGCGAAAGCGUGGGGAGCGAACAGG
rnacentral:rRNA from 1 species